UGGAAAUUAAGUGUAAAUAUAAAUAUAUAUAUUUAUAUAUUAAAUAGUUUUAUUAAAUUAAUUAGAGAAAAGAAAGAAAAGAAAGGACAAAAAGAAGAAAAGGAGAAGAAAAUUUCAUUUUCUCUUUUCUUCUUCUUCUUCUCUUCCCCUCACCGCCAAGUUUGAAGACAUCCAAGUUUCCUUUAUUUUUUUUUCUUUUUCCUUCUUCAAUUUGCAGAGAACUUCUAAGAGAGAGUUUGGAAGAAGAAGAGAAAUUUUACUAGAAUUUUUAGGUUGAAGAAGAGGAGGAGAACUCAAGCAAAGUGUAUCAAUGGCUGAAUUUUAGUUCAUUCUGCACAUCACUGGUUUUUAAUUCGGUUUGAACUCUUCAAAAGGAAUUAAGAGGGCAGUUGAUUUUCACUCGAAAUCAGGAGGUCUCUGGUUUUUCUUGUAUUUCAGAGUGUAUCGGUGGAGUUAGAAUUUCUAUUUGGAACAAGUUAAAGAGGUCGUGUGCGCGCGAUUCUGGAAGUGGUUCUGUUUUGAGGGUUAUAUGUGUUUAUGCACGGGGAAUCAGAUUUAUAUGUCUUCAGGCCGAGAAGAAUUAAACCGAGCUUAUAGACCAAGGAUCUAGCCCAAGACUGUAGAGAUCGACUUCCCGGUGCCUGAUAGACUGCCUUAGUCUUCGGAAGCUUCAUUAUCGAUUGCCAGUACGUGUUUUGAGUUGGGCAUAAAGUCUGUUGUGUUGUGAUGUAUUCACACCCUUGUAUGUUAUAGAUACUCCACAGUUUGUAUAAGCUUUAGGAGCUGUAGUUGUGUAAAUUUUGUUAGUUAUAUUUUGAUUAAGGUGUCUUUAGGUUUACUCGUGAAAUCGGUAAAUUUUGAGGUACACUUCAUGUAUGUGUUUGACUAGCUGUGUUUGACUAGCCUAGGAUCCGCUGUGUUUUGUGGCAUGUACAAUAGUUUAUAUACUAGAUUGGCAAGUUCAUCACAUGAAAGUUUUAAGCAGAGUCGAUAGAUACAGGUACAGAAAAACGUUGUUCGUCGGCUUCACGCCAUCUUUCGGUCUAAGGUAGCAGGUAGUCCGGGAGGGGGUGUGACAAUUCCCAUGUGGGUUACUACGUUUCUAGUUUCGGUUCGAGGUCCAGUAGUAAGAAAGCCCUUACCUGAGAUGUAGCUAAAAUCUCGUUCAAGUCCGUGUCUAAACGAAUCGACCUAAACACAAACAUACGGGUUUAACAAUGACAUCACCACAAUCCACAAUACAAAACGCUCCAAAGCAACAACUACCGACUUACCCAAGCAGAGGAGAGUUGGCUUCUACUGCGCUUACCGUAAAAUUCCUGAAUUCGAGCGUCACCUCCCCAACACCUUCAGGGGAUCAACGGAUAACCCAAUAAAUCAAUUCAAAAUUUUAAUCCGAUAUUUAGGCUCUCACUGAAUAUUGAAAACAUUAGAAAUUCCUUACAUUGUCCUUACCCAGACUCACCGGGACUCAGCACGAAUGGACACGACUUAAGUGGCUCGGUGGAUCAAGAGAUUGGCUUGGAAAAUUGACUUGGCUUGGGAGGCGGCUCGACUUGACUCUUGGCUCACGGCUUGGCUCGGCUCGGCUUAGUUCUGUUAUCGACUCGCGGCUCGACUCGGCUCUCGACUCGUGGCUCGGCUCUCGGCUCGCGGCUCGGCUCAGCUUGGUUCAGCUAUGGCUCGGCUCGGCUCGAUCGACUCGGCUUGCUGGACUCGGCUCGACCGAUCAUUUGUAGCUGGCGCACACGCGAACAUCUAGUUUCCUGCUUCACGCGACGACGACCGAAGAGGGACGCACGGUGAACUCUAGACUGCAUCAGGUGGUGUACGAAGGAGGAAAUGUGACGUACGGUUGAGGCAGAGGCGGCCGACAGACCUGGGGGCGGCACAAGAAGGAGAGAAAAUGUGAGAUGGGCCGCCGUGUGACUGCACGUCGACGUUGUGAAGCCAACGACGAUGGAGACGGAGACAGAGACGAAGACGGGGUGAUUACCACAGAGACAGAGACGGAGAGACUACCACAGAGACGGAGACGGAGACGGGGCGAUUACAACAAAGACGAAGACUACCACAGAGACGGAGAUGAGGCGUUUACCACAGAGACGGAGACGGAGAGACUACCACAGAGAUGGAGACGGUGUCGUCGGCUAUUGGGAGAAGAAAUGAAGUAAAGACAAAAAAAGAAGACAUGGGGGGGAGCGGCGCGCGGGUUUUAGGGU